rnacentral:rRNA from 1 species
AUGCAAGUCGAGCGAACAGACGAGGAGCUUGCUCCUUUGACGUUAGCGGCGGACGGGUGAGUAACACGUAGGUAACCUACCUAUAAGACUGGGAUAACUUCGGGAAACCGGAGCUAAUACCGGAUAAUAUUUCGAACCGCAUGGUUCGAUAGUGAAAGACGGUUUUGCUGUCACUUAUAGAUGGAUCCGCGCCGCAUUAGCUAGUUGGUAAGGUAACGGCUUACCAAGGCAACGAUGCGUAGCCGACCUGAGAGGGUGAUCGGCCACACUGGAACUGAGACA